rnacentral:rRNA from 1 species
AUUGAACGCUGGCGGCAGGCCUAACCCAUGCAAGUCGAACGAGUGGCGGACGGGUGAGUAAUGUCUGGGAAACUGCCUGAUAGAGGGGGAUAACUCCUGGAAACGUUGGCUAAUACCGCAUACUAUCCGAUGUCCCCAGAUGGGAUUAGCUUGUUGGGGGGGUACAGGCUCACCAAGGCGACGAUCCCUAGCUGGUCUGAGAGGAUGACCAGCCACAUGGGAACUGAGACACGGUCCAGACUCCUACGGGAGGCAGCAGUGGGGAAUAUUGGACAAUGGGCGCAAGCCUGAUGCAGCAAUGCCGCGUGUAUGAAGAAGGCCUUCGGGUUGUAAAGGACUUUCAGCGGGGAGGCGGUACCCGCAGAAUAAGCACCGGCUAACUCCGUGCCAGCAGCCGCGGUAAUUC